UAAUGUACGAAAGCGUGGGUAGCGAACAGGAUUAGAUACCCUGGUAGUCCACGCCCUAAACGAUGUCAACUAGGUGUAUGGAGAAUUUAUUCUUUGUGUAUCGAAGCUAACGCGAUAAGUUGACCGCCUGGGGAGUACGGUCGCAAGAUUAAAACUCAAAGGAAUUGACGGGGGCCUGCACAAGCGGUGGAGCAUGUGGUUUAAUUCGACGCAACGCGAAGAACCUUACCUGGCCUUGACAUGCAGAGAACUUUCCAGAGAUGGAUUGGUGCCUUCGGGAACUCUGACACAGGUGCUGCAUGGCCGUCGUCAGCUCGUGUCGUGAGAUGUUGGGUUAAGU
rnacentral:rRNA from 12 species